AGUGAACGCUGGCGGUAGGCCUAACACAUGCAAGUCGAACGGCAGCACAGUAAGAGCUUGCUCUUACGGGUGGCGAGUGGCGGACGGGUGAGGAAUACAUCGGAAUCUACUUUUUCGUGGGGGAUAACGUAGGGAAACUUACGCUAAUACCGCAUACGACCUACGGGUGAAAGCAGGGGAUCUUCGGACCUUGCGCGAUUGAAUGAGCCGAUGUCGGAUUAGCUAGUUGGCGGGGUAAAGGCCCACCAAGGCGACGAUCCGUAGCUGGUCUGAGAGGAUGAUCAGCCACACUGGAACUGAGACACGGUCCAGACUCCUACGGGAGGCAGCAGUGGGGAAUAUUGGACAAUGGGCGCAAGCCUGAUCCAGCCAUACCGCGUGGGUGAAGAAGGCCUUCGGGUUGUAAAGCCCUUUUGUUGGGAAAGAAAAGCAGCGGGUUAAUACCCCGCUGUUCUGACGGUACCCAAAGAAUAAGCAUCGGCUAACUUCGUG
rnacentral:rRNA from 1 species